rnacentral:rRNA from 1 species
GACGUAGGAGGCGAGCGUUAUCCGGAUUCACUGGGCGUAAAGCGCAUGUAGGCGGUUCGAUACGUCCGGUGUUAAAGCCCCUGGCUCAACUGGGGGAGGUCAUUGGAGACUAUAGGACUGGAGGGCAACAGAGGCACGUGGAACUCCCGGUGUAGCGGUGGAAUGCGUAGAGAUCGGGAAGAACACCAGUGGCGAAGGCGACGUGCUGGGUUGCAACUGACGCUGAGAUGCGAAAGUGUGGGGAGCAAACGGG